rnacentral:rRNA from 1 species
CCCUUAGAUGUCCGGGGCUGCACGCGCGCUACACUGAAGGAAUCAGCGUGCUAAAACCAUUGUCGAAAGGCAUUGGUAAACCCAUUAAAAUCCUACGUGAUUGGGAUCGGGAAUUGCAAUUAUUUCCCUUGAACGAGGAAUUCCCAGUAAGUGUGGGUCAUAAGCUCGCGUUGAUUACGUCCCUGCCCUUUGUACACACCGCCCGUCGCUGCCCGGGACUGAGUCGUUUCGAGAAAAGCGGGGACUGCUGCUGUCGGGGCUUUCGGGCCUUGGCUUCGGUGGAAACCGCUUUAAUCGCAGUGGCUUGAACCGGGCAAAANUCGUANCA